UACGGGGGGGGCAAGCGUUGUUCGGAAUUACUGGGCGUAAAGGGCUCGUAGGCGGCCAACUAAGUCAGACGUGAAAUCCCUCGGCUUAACCGGGGAACUGCGUCUGAUACUGGAUGGCUUGAGUUUGGGAGAGGGAUGCGGAAUUCCAGGUGUAGCGGUGAAAUGCGUAGAUAUCUGGAGGAACACCGGUGGCGUAGGCGGCAUCCUGGACCAACACUGACGCUGAGUGAGCGAAAGCCAGGGGAGCAAACGGG
rnacentral:rRNA from 1 species